rnacentral:ncRNA from 1 species
AGAUAAGCGUUGAAAGAGAGAGUACUUUCCAACUCUAUGUACAGCGAGCCAGGAAACGGUGGAAGCCUGGUCAAUGGACUGGAAACGAAAAUCACUCCGAAGCUGGAUUGCGGAAUACUGUACGCAGUCCCGGAAACACCCCGUUAUGGUGUCUGAGUGGCAGCAAUUUUUUGUGCUGCAAGUAGGGUGGUAACGCGAGUAAUUCCUCGUCCCUUUU